UACGAAGGGGGCUAGCGUUGUUCGGAAUUACUGGGCGUAAAGCGCACGUAGGCGGGUCGUUAAGUCAGGGGUGAAAUCCCGGAGCUCAACUCCGGAACUGCCUUUGAUACUGGCGAUCUAGAGAUCGGAAGAGGUGAGUGGAAUUCCCAGUGUAGAGGUGAAAUUCGUAGAUGUUGGGAAGAACACCAGUGGCGAAGGCGGCUCACUGGUCCGAUACUGACGCUGAGGUGCGAAAGCGUGGGGAGCAAACAGG
rnacentral:rRNA from 1 species